GACGAACGCUGGCGGCGUGCUUAACACAUGCAAGUCGAACGGAAAGGCCCUGCUUUUGUGGGGUGCUCGAGUGGCGAACGGGUGAGUAACACGUGAGUAACCUGCCCUUGACUUUGGGAUAACUUCAGGAAACUGGGGCUAAUACCGGAUAGGAGCUCCUGCUGCAUGGUGGGGGUUGGAAAGUUUCGGCGGUUGGGGAUGGACUCGCGGCUUAUCAGCUUGUUGGUGGGGUAGUGGCUUACCAAGGCUUUGACGGGUAGCCGGCCUGAGAGGGUGACCGGCCACAUUGGGACUGAGAUACGGCCCAGAAUCCUACGGGAGGCAGCAGGGGGGAAUAUUGCACAAUGGGCGGAAGCCUGAUGCAGCAACGCCGGGGGGGGGAUGACGGCCUUCGGGUUGUAAACCGCUUUCGCCUGUGACGAAGCGGGAGUGACGGUAAUGGGUAAAGAAGCACCGGCUAACUACGUG
rnacentral:rRNA from 1 species